CGGUAAUUCGGAAGUUUGAAAUCGGAAAUUUUCGAAAUUUUGGCAUCAGUUUUCCCGACCGAAUUCGAUUUCAAAAUGGCUAAUUCCGAUUUCGAAUUCGAUACCGAAUUGAAUUCGGAAUACGGUGGAUUCCGAAUUCCCCGAAUUCUUUUUUUUUCCUCCUCUAUUUAAGAGGAGAUUUGAAAGCCGUUCCUCCUCCAACCAAAACAGGUUGUUAACCAGAAUCAUUAACACCAAUUUAAUCCACGAACAUGUCAUGAACACAUCUAAUCAUUAUCUUCUAUCUAUUAAAGUUCAACCCUGCUGAGUGCUGAGCUUCAGAGAUCUCAGAAAGAGCACAAACAAAUGCCAAUUGUAACUGAAAGUCAUAGAACACCCUCAGCACAUUCAUAUAUUCCACGACUAAUCAACUUAAAAAUAGGCAAACACCCUAAUUUACAUUGUCAUAUAUAAAUUUAGAAACGGGCAAACUGUCUUUUGACAAAUUUAAUGUUCGCAGCCAGAAGCAUGAACAGAAAACACAUACAGUGCACAAAAAUGUACAAUGGCGUCUGCCUGCUGGAUGGUUUUCAAGAUGUGCUUGGAAAACACAUAAGUGAAAAACAGAAGUUGAAAAACAAAAGUUCAGCACCUCUGUUGCCCCUCUGUUGCUCCGUGUAUGUCAGGGAGAAGAAGAAACAAAGAAAUUAAAAAGGUCAAAUGAUACAAUUUGUUAAUUAACACUCAAAACCAAUUUUUGUGCGUAUUAGUACCCAAAGAACGCAUUUAACUAAGAAAAAAUAAGGAUUGAGCAUGCCAUUGAAAUUAUUGAUGAAAAAUCACUGGCGUAAGAAACAUAGCUGAAAAAGGUGAGUAAAAGCACUGGCGUACCUCAAAUUGUCCGACAGUCUUGAAUAUGAAGGCUGAUGGUGUCUGUCUCUGUCGGACUUGAAGAACUGGUGUUCAAUUUCAGGUGUGAUGCAAAUCACGAGUGAAAUCUCUAAGGUGAAAGAGGCGAUGGAAGCGGUGAGUAGGGGUGUCGGUGAGAGAGUAAACUGAGUCGGUGAAAGAGAGUGAGAGAGAGUAAGCUUCGUCGGUGACUCGGUGAGUCAAGCGGUGACGAAGACAGUGACGAAGAGGCGAUGAAGGAAGAGGCGGCGCGGCGGCAGCUCAAGGUGAGUUAAGAGAAAUUAGG
rnacentral:lncRNA from 1 species